rnacentral:rRNA from 1 species
GAUGAACGCUGGCGGCGUGCCUAAUACAUGCAAGUCGAACGCUGGAAAUCUAGCUUGCUCGCUUGAAGGAGUGGCGAACGGGUGAGUAAUACAUAAGCAACCUACCCACGAAGACUGGGAUAAUCUCUGGAAACGGGGACUAAUACCGGAUAGGUAAUCGGAAGGCAUCUUCUGAUUAUUAAAGGUUAAAAACACUGGUGGAUGGGCUUAUGGCGCAUUAGUUAGUUGGUGAGGUAACGGCCCACCAAGACGAUGAUGCGUAGCCGGCCUGAGAGGGUGAACGGCCACAUUGGGACUGAGACACGGCCCAGACUCCUACGGGAGGCAGCAGUAGGGAAUUUUCGGCAAUGGGGGAAACCCUGACCGAGCAACGCCGCGUGAGUGAUGACGGCCUUCGGGUUGUAAAGCUCUGUUGUAAGGGAAGAACGGUAGAUAGAGAAUAUCUAAAUGACGGUACCUUACCAGAAAGCCACGGCUAACUACGUG